GUUGGAGCCUCAAUGCGCCCGUAAAACACUGGCACACCACAUAGGGCACUUGUGGGCAACAGAUGAAAACAGUUUCAGUCAUUGGAAUAGAGCUGUGUCCCCCUGGAAAACGGUUCAUGAUUACGAUGGUGGCGAGCUUCGUGGCCAUGGCGGGCCAGUUCCUCAUGCCCGGGCUAGCCGCCCUGUGCCGGAACUGGCAGGAUAUUCCCUGAGUCCCUCCGGUGGCUAAUGGCCACCCAGCAGUUUGAGUCUGCAAAGAGGCUGAUCCUCCACUUCACACAGAAGAACCGCAUGAACCCUGAGGGCGACAUCAAGGGUGUGAUGCCAGAGCUGGAGAAGGAGCUUUCCCGGAGGCCCAAGAAGGUCUGCAUCGUGAAGGUGGUGGGGACACGGAACCUGUGGAAGAACAUUGUGGUCCUGUGUGUGAACUCGCUGACGGGGUACGGGAUCCACCACUGCUUUGCCAGAAGUAUGAUGGGCCACGAGGUGAAGGUGCCGCUCCUGGAGAACUUCUACGCUGACUACUACACCACGGCCAG
rnacentral:sRNA from 1 species